UACCAGCACUAAUGCACCGGAUCCCAUC
rnacentral:snRNA from 1 species